UCUGCAAGGGCGGGGUAGCCGGGGUUGGGCGGCCUCGGGGGCCGGGCCGGCAGGGGCGGAACGGGAAGACGUGGAGAGACGGACACAGAGACCGACACAGAGACCGACACAGACCCACCAAGGACGCAGCCCAGGCCCUUUUCAUUUUCCACCUGGAGAUGCUACUGCGCGGAGUCACUAAGUUGCCCAGCCUGGGUUUGAAAUUGUGAUGCUCCUGCCUCGGCCUCCCGGAGUGGGGCGGCGGCGAGAGCUGGGUGCCGCGAAACCUGGCUUGCAUUGAAUUAAAUUUUCUUUGUUUUUCCUUGUCGUGGGUCCGUGUCUGCACUGCGUCCUGGACGAGCAGCGUCGUUCUUUUUUACGCCCCCGCCCUCCAUCUCCCGGUCCCCGCCCUACCUGUAUCACCUACCCUUGCCUUGACUCUUUAUUUACGCUUUGGAGAGAAACCACGUGGCCCCGAGGCUCGUGUGCCUGAUUUGUUUCAGUUAACACCCUCGUCUCGAGGUGCCUCCGUUUCCCUACUCGUGACUCUAGCCCACCCUUCUUCGUGGCUGUGUAGUACUCUGCUGUGAGUCAGCACCGCCCUGUCUCUACGCGUCCAUCUGCUGAUGGACACAGAGGCUGCGUCCGAGAGUCGCUGUGGUGCCGCGGGACACACGGGUGUGCGCGGAGCCCUGUGACCGCAGGUGCUUUACUCACUGUUGCCCUGCUGUCCUGACGAAUGAAAUCCACAGCCCGGACACAGGGGUCUGGGACCUGAGCCCCAUCCGCCGUGUUUACCUCCGGAUGAAGGCCUGGGCCUCCCGCAGGAGCAGCUGGGUGCUGCGGUCCAGGUCCAUGGGCUGCCCGGUGACCUCGUGGUUCCGCAUGACGAUGCAGUUCCAGCGCCGCACAAACCCCGAGCUGCAGGACCAGCAGAGGAAGAGCAGGAGGCUGAGGCAGGCCGCGCCCAGCACCACUUUCCACGGCACGGGCAGCAGGCCGUGCACCUUGGCGGCCAGCAGGGUCAGGGCGCCCAGGGUCAGGCUGCCCUUGGCGUGUGGGGGCCUUGUUCUGUCUGUCUGUCUGUCCGUCUUUGUAUCUAUGCAAUCUAUCAGGUUUCAAUCUGUGUAUCUAUCAGUCACGUACCUGUGAGUCCACCUACCAUCUAUCAGUUUAUCUAUGAACCUGUGACCUGUCAGUCUCUAAUUCUGUAUCCAUCUGUCAUCUGUCUCUCCGUCUCUCGCCCAUCAAGGUAUCGGGCAGUCAUCGCAGCCGUCUGCCUCCCGUCCGUCCGUCCGUCAUCUCCCUCCCGCGUGUCUGUCUGUCCCGCCCCGUUCUGUCCAUCUCCCUCCUCACCGACCACUGCCGGUCACCUGUCCGUCCUCAGCAGUCGCCUGCUUUCCGUCGGAGUCGGGUCAAAGUGCACGGAGAGCCGGGUGAGGGGCCCUCGCACGCCCUGUCCUCCUGGCACUCGGGAGGCUGAGGCGGGAGCGUCUCCGUGGGGUCGAGGCCGGNNNNNNNNNNNNNNNNNNNNNNNNNNNNNGAUGCUGGGUGAGCCGCAGGCCCUCGUCCGCCAGGCGGUCGAUAUUCGGGGUCCUGGGGAAACGGGAGAAACGCAACCGGACGGACCUGGUGUGGCGCUCCAGGGAGAGAAGCGGAAACUGAGCAGGGCGUGGGGGCGCCCGCCUUCGGACCCCGGCGCUCCGGGAGGGAGGCUGAGGCAGGAGGGUCCCGAGGAGAAGCCCAGCCCUGCCAUGUAGUGACUUUGACGCGACCCCGUGUUCGGGGGGAGAAAUCUAAACGGUGCUGGGUCCGGCCCUGGGUGAAGCCCUCAUUUCCCGGAAUGCACCUCGGACUGCGACUCCCGGGCACCAGUUGGGUAGCGACUGCCUGUAACUAAUCUAUUUAUUUCCUCAUUGGUACAGGGCAUCUCGCUCAGCCAGGUCCCCACACAGGAAAUCACGGCCUCACGCGCUUGCUAAGUGGCCCAGGCUGGCUCCAGACACCCUCCUGCCUCAGCCGACCAGAGGGUUGGGAUGAUGGGAGGGCUCCCCCAGGCCUGGCUCCCUGUGUCCUCACACGCACGUCCCUCUGUGUGUGUCCACAUCCUCCCAUCCUUUCUCAGUAGGAUGCAGGCUCAGGGGCUCAAAGCCACCCUGGGGACUCAGUUUACCUCCACAACUCUAAGACCCUGUAUUCGUACAGUGGAAGCUUGAGAUCCUGGGGUCAGAGAGUCAGUCAACGAACACCCAGUCUCCACACAGCCACGGACUGAGGUCCAGGGUGCUAGGAUUUAGGAGUUCUCAGGGCGCGACUGACCCUACAGCCAUCACUGACAGCCUCUGAGAUGAGGUCUCCUAACUAGGGUGGCCCCAAAUCCAACAACAGCAUCCUCAGGAGAGACAGAGCAGGAGGCACACAGAGGAGGAGCCGAGUGGAGAUGAAGUCGGAGACUGCCCCAGGAGGAGGCAGAGGCAGGAGGGUCUCGCCGGGAGCCUGUGGAUGCCUCUGUCUCAGCCUCCUGGGCUCCAGGACAGGAAUUCCUGGACGCUCUCUGGGCUGGAGAGCUCCGCCCCAGAGCCCAGCACACCUCAGAGUGUGGUUCCCGUAGCAGCCCAGGUCCCCGAUGCCCAGGUCAUCCGCCAGGAUCAGCAGGAAGUUCGGUCUUGGGGCUCUGCUGGCCUCGGCCCCGCAGCUCCACAGGAGGAGGCCCAGGAGGAGGGGUCGCAGUGUGGGGCCUCUGGGAGGAAACACAGGCAGCGGUGAACGCCUGGGGUGGGCGUGCGGCAGGGGCAGGGGCAGGGGCAGGGGCAGGGGCAGGGGCAGGGUGCGCCUGACCGGGCGGGAGGAAGACGGCGCCUUUGGGGACAGAACCAUCGAGGGGGAGGUGGCCAAGGGCCUCGGAGUUGGGCCCAGCCAAACCACUGGUCCCGUAGAUGGGGCCAAAACGGUCGAUUGGAGGGACCCUGCGUACGCAGCAAGAGCGAGCCCACUGACGCCGGCGAGAUUUCCAACAGCUGGAGACCCCCAGCAGGUUAGGCCUGAAACCUCAGACAAUUCCAGUCCUUGAUAAAACAGCCCACGAUUAAGUAUAAUGUACAAAGGAAGCAUCGAUCCCAACAUUGAUAUAAUGUACAAAGGAAGCAUCGAUCCCAACAUUGAUCCGUAGCCCCACCCACCCGUCCAUCCGCCCGUCCAUCCGCCCGUCCAUCCACCCGUCCAUCCAUUUUUCAUCAGUGUAACAAUUGUUCUGAUUGAAAAGAAUUAACACCAUAAAUUAAAUAAUUAUAAAAGCGUGUCUUCAAUGGUUACUUAAAACUGAUGAAUUAUUUAUCUGUGGAAUUUUUCCCGUUAAUAUUUUUGAGUAAUGAGUUACUAAGGCUUCAGAAACUCGUAACCAGACAUGCAGUGUUGCUUGGUUUCCCGUGUGACUUGAGAGGAGCCCAAAGUAGAAAUAAAUUAAAAAAGAAAACGGAAGAUCGAUAAUAGGGAACAGGGUGGUCGAUGUUUUCAAAAGUUAAGGAGAAAAAGAGAUUCAGGGAGAACAGCGGACACGGAGGAAAAAAAAAUUAAACUGUGUUCCGUACGUGGACCAACUCCCCGCCGGGAAUGUGAACAUUAGGCACUGAAAAUAAGGACUAAUAAAAAUAAAACAAUUUUAAAAAUAACUGAAUAAAAGCAGGACUGUUGUAACUACGGAACCAUCGCUCUGUGUUUUGUUAUUUCUGGUUUUCCCCUUGCUUUUUGAUCCCAUUCCUUAGAGGUCCUCGGGGAAGAGGUCUCCAGAGCCGCUGCAGAGCGGCCGGAGCGUGGGGGGAGAGGGGGUGCACUGCUGCCGAGCAUCUGGGGGGCGGUCGUGGCCACGUGUCUUUAAUGUAAAAAAAUAAUUAAAAAAAAUUUAAACAUUCACCAAGUAUUUCGGUCACCUCUUGUAUAUUCCUGCCCAGCAAGCUGGUUUCUGCCCAAAGACAAAACAUACACACUUACACAGCAGAUUGGCUUUUCUUGGACCUGCCGGCGUCCGGAGAAGGUCUCAUCCUAGGAAGGAGACAAGGCCUUGGGGUGUGCAGAGCACUUCCCAGAGGCGGCGAAAUCUCUUCGCGUAAUAAAUUAUCUUACUUUACAAGAUCGCCCUAUUUUGUGAUCACGCCAUGUCUAUUUUUUACCACUGCAUUCAAAUGCGAUUAAUGGGCCGGGCCUGGUUGGGCUCGCCCGUCAUCCCGGCACGUGGGAGGCUGAGGCAGGAGGGUCCCCUUGCGCUCAGUGCCAGACUGGGCUGCACAGUGAGCUCAUGUCCAACCUGAACUGUUCAUAGCAAGACCUUGUCCCCCAAACUCGCAAGCAAUUAAUAAAAUAAAGGACAGUUCAUGAGCAGUCACGCCAGAACCCAUCCCCGACAACCAGCCAGUCCCUUUUCCUGUGGUGACCGCCGUGCCCGCCUCCAGUUUGGCUCCUGGACUCCUGGGGUGUCUUCCUGUCCCUUGGGAAGCGCAGGCUGGGGCCCUGCCCUAAAGGCCAAGUGCGGGGUGGCGGGGACCCCAGACUGCUCGGUGACCCGGGGCGAGGAGGACAGCAGAGGAGGCCGGGGCGCAGGGCGGGCCCUGUGCUGUCCGUGUCCAAAACCGGGGACUCCGGACGGCGGCGGGC
rnacentral:lncRNA from 1 species